CGAACGCUGGCGGCGUGCUUAACACAUGCAAGUCGAACGAAGAGCGAUGGAAGCUUGCUUCUAUCAAUCUUAGUGGCGAACGGGUGAGUAACGCGUAAUCAACCUGCCCUUCAGAGGGGGACAACAGUUGGAAACGACUGCUAAUACCGCAUACGAUCUAAUCUCGGCAUCGAGGAAAGAUGAAAGGUGGCCUCUAUUUAUAAGCUAUCACUGAAGGAGGGGAUUGCGUCUGAUUAGCUAGUUGGAGGGGUAACGGCCCACCAAGGCGAUGAUCAGUAGCCGGUCUGAGAGGAUGAACGGCCACAUUGGGACUGAGACACGGCCCAGACUCCUACGGGAGGCAGCAGUGGGGAAUCUUCCGCAAUGGACGAAAGUCUGACGGAGCAACGCCGCGUGAGUGAUGACGGCCUUCGGGUUGUAAAGCUCUGUUAAUCGGGACGAAAGGCCUUCUUGCGAACAGUUAGAAGGAUUGACGGUACCGGAAUAGAAAGCCACGGCUAACUACGUG
rnacentral:rRNA from 1 species